CACCGCGGUUAUACGAGAGGCCCAAGUUGAUAAUCACCGGCAUAAAGAGUGGUUAAUAAAUUUUAUACUAAGGCCAAACACCUCCAAAACUGUUAUACGUAUUUGAAGGCAGGAAGAUCGCCCACGAAAGUAGCCUUAAACAUAUGACCCCACGAAAGCUAGGGCC
rnacentral:rRNA from 1 species